rnacentral:ncRNA from 2 species
AUACGCUGCUAGGGGAGCCGAUUGGCUGAGAGGUAGUCGCAAAGGGCGUGCUGCUGACCCUAUGAACCUGAUCUGGAUAAUACCAGCGGAGGGAAGCGGCACACGGUCUGU